GGACUACAGGGGUAUCUAAUCCCGUUUGCUCCCCUAGCUUUCGCGCAUCAGCGUCAGAAGAGAUCCAGCCCGCCGCUUUCGCCACCGGCGUUCCUUCCGAUAUCAACGCAUUUCACCGCUCCACCGGAAGUUCCACGGGCCCCUACCUCCCUCUAGACAGCCAGUAUCCACGGCCAUUUUCCGGUUAAGCCGAAAGAUUUCACCACAGACUUGGCUGCCCGCCUACGCGCCCUUUAAGCCCAGUGAUUCCGAACAACGUUUGCACGGUUCGUCUUACCGCGGCUGCUGGCAC
rnacentral:rRNA from 1 species